AGUGAACGCUGGCGGUAGGCCUAACACAUGCAAGUCGAACGGCAGCACAGUAAGAGCUUGCUCUUACGGGUGGCGAGUGGCGGACGGGUGAGGAAUACGUCGGAAUCUACUUUUUCGUGGGGGAUAACGUAGGGAAACUUACGCUAAUACCGCAUACGACCUACGGGUGAAAGCAGGGGAUCUUCGGACCUUGCGCGAUUGAAUGAGCCGAUGUCGGAUUAGCUAGUUGGCGGGGUAAAGGCCCACCAAGGCGACGAUCCGUAGCUGGUCUGAGAGGAUGAUCAGCCACACUGGAACUGAGACACGGUCCAGACUCCUACGGGAGGCAGCAGUGGGGAAUAUUGGACAAUGGGCGCAAGCCUGAUCCAGCCAUACCGCGUGGGUGAAGAAGGCCUUCGGGUUGUAAAGCCCUUUUGUUGGGAAAGAAAAGCAGCAGGUUAAUACCCCACUGUUCUGACGGUACCCAAAGAAUAAGCACCGGCUAACUUCGUG
rnacentral:rRNA from 1 species